rnacentral:rRNA from 1 species
UACGUAGGGGGCUAGCGUUGUCCGGAAUCAUUGGGCGUAAAGAGCGUGUAGGCGGCCCGGUAAGUCCGCUGUGAAAGUCGGGGGCUCAACCCUCGAAUGCCGGUGGAUACUGUCGGGCUAGAGUGCGGAAGAGGCGGAGUGGAAUUCCUGGUGUAGCGGUGGAAAUGCGCAGAUAUCAGGAGGAACACCAAUUGCGAAGGCAGCUCGCUGGGACGUCACUGACGCUGAGACGCGAAAGCGUGGGGAGCAAACAGG